GGAAGCAAAAGUCGUAACAAGGUUACCGUAGGUGAACCUGCGGAAGGAUCAUUAUUGUAUAACCGAGGUGCGAGGGCUGUCGCUGACCCGAAAGGUCGUGCACGCCCGAGUGCCCUCACACACAUCCAUCUCACCCCUAUGUGCACCACCGCGUGGGUCCCCCUUUGGCUUGUUCGGAGGGGGGCUUACGUUUUCACACAAACUUUGUAUGCAGUGUAGAAUGUAUUUUUUGUUUUUGCGAUCACGCAAUCAAUACAACUUUCAACAACGGAUCUCUUGGCUCUC
rnacentral:misc_RNA from 1 species